AAACAAUUUCUUUCAUAUGGCAUUAAAAAAGAACAUAAAAAAUCAGUUUUUUCAAGAAAAUAGUCUCAAUCAAUAGCUUAAUAAAAUAACCGUUUGAUACGAAAAAAAAAACUUAUAAAAUCAAUUUCGUAAGUAUCAUUUGUUUACUAUGGAAUAAAAAGAUAAUUAAAAAAUCAAUUUGAUGGAUUUAAAUUAGAACAGAAAAACGGAGACUUAAAAAACAAUGUUGUUUAAUAUGACAUUAAAAAAGAACACAAAAAGUCAAUUUAUUGGAUUUUUUUUUAUAAAUAUAAUGCCAAUAGAUAAUAUAUAUAUAUUUUUUAAAAUAACGUAAAAAAAGAACAUAAAAAUCGGUAUUGUAAUUAUUGUAUAAUCUAAAUUUUUUGUUUCAAGACUAGUUCCAAUUUUUUUAGUACAUAAUGGAUCCAACAAAACUAGUUAUGAUACUAACAUCAUUCACAACUUCACAACGUCAGUUACUUUUAAUACUAGAGUUAUUACUGAAUGACCAUAGGAGGAUAGAAAACACAUCACACGAUAGUAAACAUCGUAUUAGUCAAUUAGCAUACUUUUGACUCAUUCAUGAGUCCGACUUAUGUUGUCAUCAAAGUACAAAAAUGGAUAGAAGAUGUUUUGUCAUUCUAUGUUAUUUACUUAAGACAACUAGCAGAUUAGUCGAAACUAAGUUAUAGAUGUAGAGGAGAUGGUUGUCAUGUUCUUACAUAUCUUAGCUCACGAUGUUAACAACCGGAUAGUUCAAAGAGAUUGUACGAUUUGGUGAGACUGUUUCUAGGCAUUUCAACACCAUUUUAUUAGCGGUGUUACGAUUACACUACGUGUUGUUAAAAAACCCUUUGUCGAUCACAAACUUGUGUAUAGAUCAGAGAUGGAAAUGGUUUGAGGUACAGCUCAACUACACCAACAUUAGUUUGACGUGAUUUAUUUGUUAGGUGAACGUAUGCGCAUGAAUAUUUCUUAUUUUGUUCCACCACAGAAUUGUCUGGGUGCGUUAGAUGACACGUACAUGAAGGGUAGGAAGGAUCUGCAGCUGAUUUUCAAGUUCUCAGAUAUGCAAUAUCACGACCUAAUGGACUGAAAGUUCCGAAGGACGCUUUUUUUGGCUUCAUAUAAAGGCGAAAGAUAUCAUCUUUCAAGGUGGCAUGGGGGAGGUAAUGCACCAACAACUCCACGAGAAUUCUUUAACAUGAAACAUUCUUCUGCAUGAAAUGUCAUCGAGAGAACGUUCGGAUUGUUGAAGGGUAGAUGGGCAAUCUUGUGAGAAAUAUCAUACUACCCAGUGCAAAUCCAAUGUUGAACCAUCAUGGCGUAUUAUCUUCUGCACAAUCUUAUCAAUAGGGAGAUGACUAACAAUGAACAACCGAGGAUUUGGAUGAGGUGGACUCAAAAUUUAUUACAACUGGGGGGAUGAGAUCAAUUAUAUUGAGAGUUUAAAUUAAUGGACCCAAUAGAGGAAUGAAUUGGCGCAACAGAUGUUUAUUGAAUGGGAGUUGCGUAACAUGUAGUGCCUUUGUGCUUCUUUAAUCAAUUAGAACACUUAUUUGCUUUGUCCUGUAUUGUGAAAUGACUUCAUUUGGAACUCUCUUAAUAUCAUUAUGUUUAUUAUAUUUUGUACUUCACUUUACCUAUUAAUUAUGUUCUAUAUUUUUUGUUUAUUAUUUAAUUGUAUU